rnacentral:rRNA from 1 species
UACGUAGGGUGCAGGCGUUAAUCGGAAUUACUGGGCGUAAAGCGUGCGCAGGUGGUUUGCUAAGACAGGCGUGAAAUCCCCGGGCUUAACCUGGGAACUGCGCUUGUUACUGGCAGGCUUGAGUGUGGCAGAGGGGGGUGGAAUUCCACGUGUAGCAGUGAAAUGCGUAGAGAUGUGGAGGAACACCGAUGGCGAAGGCAGCCCCCUGGGCUAACACUGACGCUCAUGCACGAAAGCGUGGGGAGCAAACAGG